rnacentral:rRNA from 1 species
GGUGAACGCUGGCGGCGUGCUUAAGACAUGCAAGUCGAACGGGCUCUUCGGAGCCAGUGGCGCACGGGUGAGUAACGCGUAACUGACCUACCCCAAAGUCGCGGAUACGAUUCGAAAGAAUCGCUAAUACGUGAUGUGCUGUCAGAUCCUGUUCUGCCAGUAAAGAUUUAUUGCUUUGGGAUGGGGUUGCGUUCCAUCAGCUAGUUGGUGGGGUAAAGGCCCACUAAGGCGACGACGGAUCGCCGGCCUGAGAGGGUGGCCGGCCACAGGGGCACUGAGACACGGGUCCCACUCCUACGGGAGGCAGCAGUUAGAAAUCUUCCACAAUGGGCGAAAGCCUGAUGGAGCGACGCCGCGUGAGGGAUGAAGGUCCUCGGAUCGUAAACCUCUGAAUCAGGGACGAAAGACGCGAAAGCGGGAUGACGGUACCUGAGUAAUAGCACCGGCUAACUCCGUG